CUCUUUUUACUCAUCACAUUACCUUUCAAGUAAAGAGGGAAAACACAUGAUAGUAAUAAUACCUUAUAUUUUUAUUUUGUUUAAGUUUUAUUUAAGUAAUCUCUACACCUCACGUGGGGCUUGAACUCAUGACCCUGAAAUCGAGUGGCACACCCCACCGACGGAGCCAACCAGCGACCCUGGGACGUCAGCAGGGCAGGUGGUAUUAUCCUCUACUUGUAAAACUAAGACUGGGAGGUACUGAGAGAUUCGGUGACUUGUCUGAGCCUCUAACAGUUUUCUCCUGUGUAAAAUGUACCAAUACUAUCCUCGUUUUGCUGCGAGCUCGUCUAGCAUGAUGGUCAAGAAAGAAUCCUGGAGACAUUUGACGGCUGCAACUUAGAAAUGACUGACCCUGUGCCUGGUUCCUGACGAGAGGAAAAAGAAGGGAUAAAAUUCAGGAGCGCUUCGAGGCCUGAAUGAUGACUUCGGGAUGUCCGAUGCAGAAGGAAGAACCUGGAAGCUCAGAGAGGGGCUCAGGGCAGGGCCGGGGGCUAGAGGCUCUGGCUGCAGGGUCCUGGCCCGGCUCCCUCCCUGGCGGCCCUCAGCCAAGUGCACAGUACGCACGACUUGUUUUUCCUCAAUUUUGUGUUGCGGUAAAAUACACAGAACGUAAAACUUACCAUCUGGGCCCUUGUGACGCGUACAGUCCCACGG